rnacentral:rRNA from 1 species
CCUACGGGUGGCAGCAGUGAGGAAUAUUGGUCAAUGGACGAGCGCCUGAACCAGCCAAGUAGCGUGAAGGAUGACUGCCCUAUGGGUUGUAAACUUCUUUUAUCUGGGAAUAAAAUGUUCCACGUGUGGGCUUUUGUAUGUACCAUAUGCAUAAGGAUCGGCUAACUCCGUGCCCGCAGCCGCGGUAAUAAGGAGGAUCCGAGCGUUAUCCGGAUUUAUUGGGUUUAAAGGGAGCGUAGGUGGAUUGUUAAGUCAGUUGUUAAAGUUUGCGGCUCAAACGUAAAAUUGCAGUUGAAACUGGCAGUCUUGAGUACAGGAGAGGUAGGCGGAAUGCGUGGUGUAGCGGUGAAAUGCUUAGAUAUCACGAAGAACUCCGAUUGCGAAGGCAGCUCACUGGACUGCAACUGACACUGAGGCUCGAAAGUGUGGGUAUCAAACAGGAUUAGAUACCCGAGUAGUC